rnacentral:rRNA from 1 species
UACGGAGGAGGCAAGCGUUAUCCGGAAUUAUUGGGCGUAAAGCGUCCGUAGGUGGCUCUUCAAGUCUGCUGUCAAAGAGUGGGGCUUAACCUUGCCAAGGCAGUGGAAACUGAAAGGCUAGAGAGCCGUAGGGGUAGAGGGAAUUCCCGGUGUAGCGGUGAAAUGCGUAGAGAUCGGGAAGAACAUCGGUGGCGAAAGCGCUCUACUGGACGGUAUCGUGACACUGAGGGACGAAAGCUAGGGGAGCGAAAUGGGAUUAGGAAACCCCAAGGUA